CAAUAGCGUAUAUUAAAGUUGUUGCAGUUAAAAAGCUCGUAGUUGGAUUUGUGGCGUACGGUGUGUUCCGGGCACUUGUUGUCUGAGUAACCUGCUGUUGCCAUCCUUGGGUGGAACCUGUGUGGCAUUAGGUUGUCGUGCAGGGGAUGCCCAUCAUUUACUGUGAAAAAAUUAGAGUGUUCAAAGCAGGCUUAUGCCGUUGAAUAUAUUAGCAUGGAAUAAUGAGAUAGGACUUUUUUGCUAUUUUGUUGGUUUGCGCAAAGAGGUAAUGAUUAAUAGGGACAGUUGGGGGGUAUUCGUAUUCCAUUGUCAGAGGUGAAAUUCUUGGAUUUUUGGAAGACGAACUACUGCGAAAGCAUUUACCAAGGAUGUUUUCAUUAA
rnacentral:rRNA from 1 species